CCUAUAACUAUAUUGCAGGUACUUUAUCAUAAUUGAUGAUGUAUGGGACAUACAAUCGUGGAAAAAUUUGGACUGUGCACUGGUCAAGAAUGAUUGUGGUAGUGUAAUAAUGACCACAACACGUAUAAAUAAUGUAGCUGAAUCCUGCUGCUCUUCUCAUGAGGAUCUUGUGUACAAAAUCCAACCACUUCGUGUAGCUGACUCAAAGAAGUUAUUUUUCAAGCGAAUAUUUGGUUGUGAAGAAAAGUGCCCUCCUAACUUAAAAGAAGCAUCGGAAGAUAUUUAAAAAGAUGUGGUGUUUGCCACUGGCCAUCAAUGCCAUAUCUAGCUUGCUGGCUACUGGGAAAACAAAAGAAGAGUGGGAUCGCGUACGGCUUUCAAUUAGCUUUGCGCGAGGAAAAAAUUCUGACAUUGAUGCCAUGAAUUACAUAUUAUCUCUGAGCUACUUUGACCUUCCUCUCGAUCUAAGAAGUUGCCUAUUAUACUUGACUAUGUUUCCAGAAGAUUUGGAGGUUGGAAGGGAACGAUUAGUACACAGAUGGAUUUCUGAGGGCUUCAUCCACGGCAAAGGCGGGGAAGAUCUUAUUGAGCUAGGAGUGGCAUGUUUUCAUGAUCUUGUGAACAGAAGUUUAAUACAGCCCAUGAACAUAGGGUAUGAUGGAAAGGCAUUGGCUUGCCGAGUCCAUGACACCAUUCUUGAUUUCCUCAUUUGCAAGUCUAUUGAAGAGAACUCCUGUACAUUGUUAAGGGAUCAUAUAAAACCAGAUAGCAGAGUUCGCCAGCUCUUUCUCAUUGGAAAUGAAGAUCAAGUUGGGGCGGAGCAAUUGGAUUUAUCACAUGCUCGAUCACUUGCUAUUUUUGGUGAAGCCAAGCAAAUGCCUUCGCUUGUGAAGUCAAAUGCUCUGCGUGUGCUGGAUCUAGAAGAUUCUGAUGGAUUGGAGAAUCAUGAUAUCAAAGAUAUUGUAAGACUUUUCCAUCUGAGAUACUUGAACAUCAGUCAGGAUUGUAUAAGUGAAAUUCCUAGACAGAUUGGAAACUUGGUGUAUCUAGAGACACUAGAUGUGUCCACCUCAGAUUUAGUUGAGCUGCCUGAAUCUGUUACUCGUCUAAAUUAAACGACUGGCACGGCUGUUUGUUCCAAGAGGAACUAAAUUUCCUGAUUGUAUUGGAAACAUGGAGGAGAAGUUGCAAGAGCUUGGGAAUCAUAUAAAAAUCUUUUCACAAUCAGUGAAGUUUGUGGAAGAGCUUGGCAAACUAAUAUAUCUGAGGAAACUGAGUGUUUAUUUGGACUAUGAUGACUCCGACAAAGCAAGCUAUGAGAAAAAAGAAAUGCUAGUGUCCUCUCUUCCUAAACUGGACACGAGUAAGCUUCACAUCCUCUCUAUUGAGUUUUCGCUUGUAGGAAAGGAUGCUGGAACCUUGAUAGAGGGGCAUCUGUUUUUUAUCCCUGCUCUCAAAAGCAUUCGAGAGAUUGACCUCCGGAAUGGGCAACUCUGUUGGGUUACCAAAUGGAUGCUUUCACUCGCCAACCUUGAAAAAUUAACUCUUGCGGGACAGUUCAUAAGGCUCGAAUUUACUUGGCCAAAUUUCUCAGAACCAGUCACCAUCAGCGGCAGUGGGCUUUUUCAACAGUUGCAGGUGUUCGGGUUCACCUUGGGUGUUAGAGAGUUUAUGUUUGAAGCUUUCCCUCAUCAUUUGCCUAGAGAAGACGAAAUCUGCAAGUGGCGGUCGUGGUAGUUUUGAUAAUAUUGGCAUCCAACACCUCUCCAGCCUUGCUGAGCUGCAUGUAGACAUAGAUUGUGAAGGUUUGAGGGGUGCAGAUGUGGAGGUAGUGGAGGUUGCUUUCAAGAGCAUGGCGGAAGCACACCCCAACCGUCCUAAGCUGGAAAUGACGAGAGCCAGAUCGGGUGCAUGCUUUCAUAGGAGCUAGAUUCUGGAUCGUGUUAACUUGAUGGUUUUCCAUGUUGGAUCGUUUGCUUAUUUUACUUUCCAUGCCCAAUUAAUGGAUUGAUGAGUCGUUGUGGCUACUGGCAUGAUCUUGGCACGUAUUGUAGACUACAUUGUUUCUGCCUGCUGCUGCUGCUCUUGGCACGGAGGCGUUCUAGUUAUGUGGGCAGAAAACUAGCAGCAUCCGGUUUAGUACAAGUAGAUUCUUGAGCUUCAAAUCUUAUGCUAGCAUUGUUAUAGUAGCAAUCCUGACAAUAUGAUGACAGGCACUUCCUUCCAUAUCUUGAUGCUGCAUGUACGAUUGUUAUAGUACCUCCAAUUCUGUUCAGUUUAAAGUUCAGUUCAACAGACACCAACAUCCGGCGUGCACUGCAUUGCAUUAUUGGCCGUGAGAGAGACCGGAUCGAUUGCUUUCAAAACCCUGCUCUUUUGACCUGUGAAUCGUGACGAUGAUUCAUGUUUUUUGUUCUUCCAUAAGCCUAGGAUCCUUAACUCAUCUCUGGAGUCAUUAUAUGUAUGUGCUUCUUUUCAUUUGCAGCUACUGACAUGGUUACUGGUUGAUGAUCUCUCCCUGCAGAUUUAUUAAACUGUAUGCGUUCUCAGUGCUUCCUGGGCUUGAGCAACAACCAGGUUACUUGGUCCCUUUGUGUGUACGUUUUGAACAUGCUGAGAGAAAUGGUGUUUGUCAGUGGAUCAAUAGUUAUGUUAUGUGGGGGCUAAUAAUUAAGGAGGGUAAAAUUAUCUGGAGGUGCUCUGCCUGUUGGUUAAUCUCUCCCUGCUGUUUAAUCAAACUGAAUGCAUUUUAACCACCUCCUGGGCUUGAGCAACAACCAUCUUACUUGCUCCCUGCCUCUGUCUUUAUCUGAUCUCAAAAUGCUCAAAGAUGGUGUUUGUCAAUGGAUCAAUAUUCCCUGAUAUUCGCUGGAGCUCCUUAUCUCCAUGCCGACCACAAAAUGUUGUGUGGGGGCCAAUAAUUAAGGAGGGUAAAAAUCUGGAGGUGCUCAUCAGUGAACAAUUCCUUUCAGACUUAAAAUCUGGUGGUUGCCGACACAAUAAUUGAGUGAGGUGAUAAGGUUGGCAGCUGCAUGCAUGUGCUCUGAACGCAUCAUUGUCCUUUUUGUCUCAAGAAGCCAUAGAUGCUAGCUGAUCUCCUCCCCCCAAUAAAGUUACUCUGCUUACAAGCUCCAGGCCUGCAAGCAGCGGAUCUCAUCGCCGGGCACCGAAAAUCAUAUCAUCGUUCUUACCAGGUAACAGAAACUCCCUUUGUUUUCUUGCCCGAUUUCUCCUCCUCCUCUCUGGAUUGCCCCAACGUGACAUCCUCCCCAAUUGUCGAAAUAUUACAUGUAUCUAAACAUUUUUUACACAUAGAUACAUCCAUAUUUGAGCAAAUUUGAGACAUUAAUAUGAAUCGGAUGAAACCGUUUUAUUUUUGCCGUGAAUGAUAAGGGGUGCCAGUCAAAUCUAGCCAGCCAUGCAUACGGGUACUUUAGGUAUUUACUAACAAUCUUUUUUUCUUUUUCCGAACAGCAAAGCCAAGACUUAAUAAUCUGUGGACAAACCAUAUGGGAAGAAGCAACGACCAUUUGGAACACUUUGCAACAUUUUUGUUCUCUUUUAGGUCAAACUCCUAAUUAGGCCAAGUCUUCGGUUUUGUUUAGUAAGAAUGUGGUGGAUGCGCAGAGAGACAUCGUCAAAGGUAUUUUUAGAGUGGUAAUAUGAAACCUGAAUCCUUCCAUUUAGGCCAUCCUCUUAUAUUGUCUGCCAAAAAUAGAACUACUGCUUAUGAUUUUGUCUUAGACAAGUUAAAAAGUAAACUUAAUGGUUACAAAGCUAACAAGAUUUCUCAUGCGGGCAGACUUGUUCUAAUCAAAUCAGUUUUAGCCGCUCUUCAUGUGUACUAUAUGUCUAAUAUUUUGUUUUCCAAGAAGAUGUUGGCUAAAAUGAAUGCAGUGAUAAGAGACUUCUGGUGGACUGGUGUUCAAGAGGAGAAUUAGGCCUGGCUAUCGAGCAUGCUCGGCUCGUUAUGCUCGUUAACCUUAACGAACAUCAAAACAUGUUUGGCUCAGUUCGUUUACUGCUCGCGAGCGCUCGUUAAGCUCGUUAGUGGUGAAAAAAAUGGUCAGCAUGUAUGCAGAAAAAAUGACAAGCAAAGCAUGUGUACAACAUUAUACAAUAAGUCCAUAACUAAUAAGACUAAUAACCAUUACAGGCUACGACACAAAUACUCAUAAGACUAGCAGCCAUUAUAGCUUCGGUGUCCUCAUACAGUACAAUACAAAAGCACUAAUAAGACUAAUAUUAGUUUGACGAGAGUACGAAACGAGGAGGAGACUAGAGACCCGACUAACCUAACGAGUCUUGGGAUUGGGCCGCAUUCAGGCAGUUGGGCUAUUCGGGAGGGUGUGCUGGGCCUAACAAGUCGUGGGUUACUGUGUUUGGUUUGACCGCCAGACGCCAGAUAACGAGCUAACGAGCAUGCUCGCGAGUCUCGCUAGCUCGGCUCGUUAAGCUCUUUAGUGUUAACGAGUUUCAGGAGGUGCUCUACUCUGCUCUUUAGUCUAACGAGCCGAGUACUAAACGAGUCGAGCUACUCUCCGAAUACCGAGUAAAAUGUCCAGGCCUAAGGAGAAUCAAAAGAAGCCCCUCUACCUCAAGGCUUGGGCUGAGAUUUGUAAAUUCAAAAAAAAAGGUGGUCUAGGAAUUAGAAAUUUAGAAGCUGUCAACAAAGCUAUUCUAGUUAAUUCUGCUUGGAAAAUUGUCACCACUAAUCAUAGCACUACAGCAAGGAUCUUAAAUCUAAAUAUUUUCCAUAUACCUUUUUCUGGAAAGCGCCCACUGAUAUUCCUAAGUCCGCUUUUUGGUCUUCAAUUCUUAAGGUGAGGAAACCUCUUAUCAAUGUUGUUACUUUGCAAAUAUCCAAAGGUAAUACUUGCAUUUGGUCUGGUCCUUGGUGUCUUUUCUGAAAUAACAUUCACAAGUCUUUUUAUCCAGAAUUCUGGUUUUCAUUAUCCUACUAUGAUUAAAGAUCUUUGGAUUCAUAAUACACAAGUUUGGAAUAUGCAACUUUUAGUUACUCUCUUUGGUCAACAAAAAGUUAAUAUUGUCUCCCAGAUUCCUAUGAAUGCCGACCACAAAAUGUUGUGUGGGGGCCAAUAAUUAAGGAGGGUAAAAAUCUGGAGGUGCUCAUCAGUGAACAAUUCCUUUCAGACUUAAAUCUGGUGGUUGCCGACACAAUAAUUGAGUGAGGUGAUAAGGUUGGCAGCUGCAUGCAUGUGCUCUGAACGCAUCAUUGUCCUUUUUGUCUCAAGAAGCAAUAGAUGCUAGCUGAUCUCCUCCCCCCAAUAAAGUUACUCUGCUUACAAGCUCCAGGCCUGCAAGCAGCGGAUCUCAUCGCCGGGCACCGAAAAUCAUAUCAUCGUUCUUACCAGGUAACAGAAACUCCCUUUGUUUUCUUGCCCGAUUUCUCCUCCUCCUCUCUGGAUUGCCCCAACGUGCCAUCCUCCUUCUUUCUUGGAAGAAUCGGUCCAACGAAGAAGUAACACCUUGAUUUGAUUUCAGGGAGAGAUCACCUUCGUUUGAUUUCAGUAUCUCGAUCGAGCACUUGAUCAGGUGCUUUUUCGCGGAGGAUCCCCUGACGUACGGCCGUGUGCUUUUUUCGCUAUCUCCUUCUAAUCAAUUUGUUGCCUAACGCUACUGGCAGCAGUUUAGUCCGACUGUACAAAAUAAAAGGACACUGGGCAGUCUAGUUCUUUAAUAUGUGCUCAUUUUUGUUGUCUUGGUGCAGUUGCUCACAAAUCCCAAUAUAUAGCUACUACAUGAUCCUGAAGAUCUGGGAAUUGUUUAUUCCAUCAACUACACAUGCAUAAACCAAAAGAGGUUUCUUCCCUUCAAAGCAACCACUGCAUCGGUUUACUCCAUCAACUACACUAGCUAGUUGGAGAGAACUUUGUUCUGAUCGGGUGGAACCAAAUGGCUGAACUUUUGGUGAGCGCUUCCACGGGCGCCAUGGGUUCCCUACUUGGAAAGCUGGGCACCAUGCUGAGCGAUGAAUACAAGCUGCUCAAGGGUGUUCGUGAUGACAUCAAGUUCCUCAAGGAUGAGCUUGAGGCGAUGCAAGCAUUCCUCUUGAUGAUGGCAGAUGUGGAGGAACCUGACCAGCAAUCCAAGCUCCGUGCAAAUGCUGUGCGGGAGCUGUCAUACGAGAUCGAGGACAGCAUAGACAAGUUCAUGGCACUCGUGGAAGAUGAGCCUAGUUCCAAGUCCGAAGGUAUCAUGAGGCUUUUUAACAGUACCAAGGACAAGAUAACAAACAUCAAGACCCGCCAUAAGAUUGCCAAGGACGUCAAAGACAUCAAGAGCCAAGUAAAGGUGGUCAGCGAGAGAUACGCAAGGUAGGUACACAAACAAAUUUUGUAGAGCCCUUUGCAUUUUAAGGUCUUUCUGUACCAUCAGUGACAUAUACCCCGUGCCAUCAAAUUUGAUCACUUAUUUGGCCUUCUUAUGUCUAACUUCUUGCCCUGCCACUGAAGGUACAAGAUCGAUGAGUCCGCCAGAACUAGACAUGAAAAGGUCGACCCUCGACUGUGUGAGGUCUAUAAAGAUGCGUCAGAACUUGUUGGGAUCGAUGGUCCGACAGAUGAGCUUAUGAAGUGGUUGAGUGACAAGGAGGGUGAAGCGGCACAUCACCUUAAAGUUGUAUCUAUUGUUGGAUAUGGAGGGUUGGGGAAAACGACUCUUGCUAAACAGAUGUAUGACAAGAUUGGAACAAACUUUGAAUGUCGGGCCUUUGUGUCAAUUUCUCGAAGUCCUGAUAUGACGAAGAUCUUGAGUUCUAUAUUAUCUGAAAUCAGCAAUGGAAAGGAACAUCCUAGAUCGACGUACCAGCAAAUUAUCGACCAGAUUAGAGAUUUCCUGAAAGAUAAAAGGUAAUGUAACCAUAGUGUACAUAAGGUAAUAUUUGUAUUUGUACCAUUUCUCCAAAUGCACAGGCCGGAAAGGUUUUGUUCUAUUAUCAUAAAAAACGCAAGUCCUAAAACCUUUUGUAGCUCAGCCACAUUUCAUAUCCUUCCAUGGUUUUGAAAUACACAAAUCUUACCACAAUUAGUUUGUUAUGGCUUAAUUUUAAUUGCUACAAAUUAUUGCGUAGACUGCAAAGUCAAAUUCUACCUAAUUUAAGCGCCGUGAGACAUGUCUGAAAUCAUUGGUGAACUGUUUCUAGUUCAAGGUUUUGUAAAUAAUUAUCAAUACUUGAUCUUUCGUAACAAUUCUAUAACAAUUGGGGUGGGUUCCCCCCUUUUCCCAGAAUAGUCGCAGCAAAACAAAAGCUCACAUAAUGUAUGUUGCUUUUUAAAAAUUCUCCAAUUCAUACAUGUAAUGGGAUAAACGUAAAAUAGCACAACUUAUUUUGGCGCAUAGACGAUUACUUAGAAAUAUCAAUUAUUACCUCCUAAAGGAUUAUUUACAAAUUGAAAUGGCAGAAUAACAAUAACUAGUAAUUAAAUUAAAUCUUGAAGCACUACAAAAUUCCACAUUUGGAAGAUUGAAUCUGCAAACUUCUACAACUUCGAGAAAACACAAAGCUUGUGUCUCGGUGUAUUGAAAAGUAAGGAGUUUUACAAGCCGGACAGGCUGAGUACAACGUUUUUGUGAGGACUAAGCAACAUCCCACCCUGGGAUAACUAAACGCAACCCUUACGUGCCUCCCAAGGUCCACGCAAUGGCUUCGUAUUGGUUUGAUCGCAGAAGUAGAUUUCCAUCCAGUCUGCUCUUGUUGAAGAUGCACGCGUUUCGGUGCUUCAACAACAUCCAGGCCGUCAGCAGGCAGCAGCACCAUGCUGGAGAAGCCCUUUCUGAGCACUUUUGCCAUGGCUGGCUUAGCUGUUCUCCACCAGACAACUAGGUCCUCAUCGGCGGCUGGCGGCGCCGCAGUGGAUCAAACCCAAGACAACACUUCAAGCGAAGUGAUCGUAGAAGAGGCAGGCAGUGUAAUGCUCAAGGCCAUGGCGUUCUCGGCGCAUUUUCAUAUUUUAGGUAGCCAUAAAUCUCAGACGGUAAGAACAUUUUGCAAUAAGACUACUCGAAAGGACAUAUUUUAAAUUAACCAAUGACCUAUAAAUAAUCUAGCUAUAUCUAUACCGAUAAUACAUAGGACGAGUUAGGAUGGUUUAAUUUUGACCCAAGCUUUCUAGAAUCUUUAAUAUAAUUCUGUAAUGAUCUACCAAUAGUUGCACACAAGUAAUGGUGCACCCUUGAUCAUUCUUGUAAUUAUGAUAUUUUCGUGAUCUCAUUUUGUAUAGAUGAGAAUUGUUGUUUCUCUGUCCCUUUUUUAUGAUAUUUCUGAAAUAAGACUAGACAUACAGGUGCAGUGUAGGUUUUGUAAAAAAAACAGAGACCUGAUGUUGAAUUUAUACUAUAGCGGACAUACCUUAUAUAUUGUUCAAAGUGUGCACUGCACAUGUAUGAUUGCUAAUGUAUAUAUUAGUGAAUGGUAUAGCACACGUAUUCUAUUCAGUUCAUUACUACAAAUGUCAUGUGAACCUUGUAUCGAUACUCCUAUAGCACAUGAUGUUAUUUAAUAUUUUUUCCUAUAACUAUAUUGCAGGUACUUUAUCAUAAUUGAUGAUGUAUGGGACAUACAAUCGUGGAAAAAUUUGGACUGUGCACUGGUCAAGAAUGAUUGUGGUAGUGUAAUAAUGACCACAACACGUAAAAAUAAUGUAGCUGAAUCUUGCUGCUCUUCUCAUGGGGAUCUUGUGUACAAAAUCCAACCACUUGGUGUAGCUGACUCAAAGAAGUUAUUUU
rnacentral:lncRNA from 1 species